rnacentral:rRNA from 1 species
UACGUAGGGUGCGAGCGUUGUCCGGAAUUAUUGGGCGUAAAGAGCUCGUAGGCGGCUUGUCGCGUCGGAUGUGAAAGCCCGGGGCUUAACUCCGGGUCUGCAUUCGAUACGGGCAGGCUAGAGUUCGGUAGGGGAGAUCGGAAUUCCUGGUGUAGCGGUGAAAUGCGCAGAUAUCAUGAGGAACACCGGUGGCGAAGGCGGAUCUCUGGGCCGAUACUGACGCUGAGGAGCGAAAGCGUGGGGAGCGAACAGG